CCCUUCCACACUGUGGAAGCUUUGUUCUUUUGCUCUUUGCAAUAAAUCUUGCUACUGCUCACUCUUUGGGUCCAUGCUGCUUUUAUGAGCUGUAACACUCACCACGAAGGCCUGCAGCUUCACUCCUGAAGCCAGCGAGACCACGAGCCCGCCGGGAGGAACGAACAACUCCAGAUGUGCCGCCUUAAGAGCUGUAACACUCACCGCAAAGGUCUGCAGCUUCACUCCUGAGCCAGCGAGACCACGAACCCACCAGAAGGAAGAAACUCCGAACACAUCCGAACAUCAGAAGGAACAAACUCCAGACGCACCACCUUAAGAGCUGUAACACUCACCGCAAGGGUCCGCAGUUUCAUUCUUGAAGUCAGUGAGACCAAGAACCCACCAAUUCCGGACACAUUUUGGCGACCCAGAUGGGACUUUCGCCUAUCACCAAGCGGUGAGACCAUCACCUAUAGCUGAGCGGUGAGACCAUCACCUAUAGCUGAGCGGCGAGACCAUCACCUAUCACCAAGCAAUGGGAAACACUCAGGCAUCAACAGGCUCACCCUUGAAAUGCAUCCUAAGCCAUUGGGACCAAUUUGAUCCACAAACCUUGAAAAAGAGGCGGCUCAUUUUUUUCUGCACUAUGGCUUGGGCCCAAUAUUCUCUCUCUGAUGAGGAAAAAUGGCCACCUGAGGGAAGUACAAAUUACAAUACUA
rnacentral:lncRNA from 1 species